CAUGCAAGUCGAGGGGCAGCAUGAUUGAAGCUUGCUUCAAUUGAUGGCGACCGGCGCACGGGUGAGUAACGCGUAUCCAACCUUCCGUACACUCAGGGAUAGCCUUUCGAAAGAAAGAUUAAUACCCGAUGGUAUGAUGAGAUUGCAUGAUAGCAUCAUUAAAGAUUUAUCGGUGUACGAUGGGGAUGCGUUCCAUUAGGUAGUAGGCGGGGUAACGGCCCACCUAGCCGACGAUGGAUAGGGGUUCUGAGAGGAAGGUCCCCCACAUUGGAACUGAGACACGGUCCAAACUCCUACGGGAGGCAGCAGUGAGGAAUAUUGGUCAAUGGACGAGAGUCUGAACCAGCCAAGUAGCGUGAAGGAUGAAGGUCCUACGGAUUGUAAACUUCUUUUAUAAGGGAAUAAAACCUCCCACGUGUGGGAGCUUGUAUGUACCUUAUGAAUAAGCAUCGGCUAACUCCGUGCCAGCAGCCGCGGUAAUACGGAGGAUGCGAGCGUUAUCCGGAUUUAUUGGGUUUAAAGGGAGCGCAGACGGGUCGUUAAGUCAGCUGUGAAAGUUUGGGGCUCAACCUUAAAAUUGCA
rnacentral:rRNA from 1 species